ACAUGGGACCUGCUGACCACAAGGAACUAUAUCUUUGGAUACCACCCCCACGGUAUCAUGGGCCUGGGUGCCUUCUGCAACUUCAGCACAGAGGCCACAGAAGUAAGAAAGAAGUUCCCAGGCAUAAGGCCUUACCUGGCCACACUGGCUGGCAAUUUCCGGAUGCCAGUGCUGAGGGAGUACCUAAUGUAUGGAGUCAUCUACCCUGUCAACUGGGACACCAUAGACUACUUGCUCUUAAAGAAUGGGAGUGGCAAUGUCAUCAUUGCCAUGGUGGGGGGUGCAGCUGAGUCCCUGAGCUCCAUGCCUGGCAAGAAUGCUGUCAUCCUGCGGAACCAGAAGGGCUUUGUGAAACUGGCCCUGCGCCAUGGAAGGGACCUGGUUCCCAUUUACUCCUUUGGGGAGAAUGAGGUGUACAAGAAGGUAAUCUUCCAGGAGGGCUCCUGGGGCCGAUGGGUCCAGAAGAAGUUGCAGAAGUACAUUGAUUUCGCCCCAUGCAUCUUCCAUGGCUGCGGCUUCUUCUCCUCUGACACCUCGGGGCUGGUGCCCUACUCCAAGUCGGUCACCACUGUUGUGGGCGAGCCCAUCACCAUCCCCAAGCUGGAGCACCCGACCCAGCAGGACAUUUACCUGUACCACGCCAUGUACAUGGAGGCCCUGGUGAAGCUCUUCGACAACCACAAGACCAAGUUUGGCCUCCCCAAGACCGAGGUCUUGGAGGUGAACUGAGCCAGCCUUCCGGGGGCCAACUGUCUGGAGGAACCAGCUGCAAAU